AUUGAACGCUGGCGGCAGGCCUAACACAUGCAAGUCGAACGAGCGGCGGACGGGUGAGUAAUGUAUGGGGAUCUGCCCGAUAGAGGGGGAUAACUACUGGAAACGGUGGCUAAUACCGCAUACUAUCGGAUGUACCCAUAUGGGAUUAGCUAGUAGGUGGGGUAAAGGCUCACCUAGGCGACGAUCCCUAGCUGGUCUGAGAGGAUGACCAGCCACACUGGAACUGAGACACGGCCCAGACUCCUACGGGAGGCAGCAGUGGGGAAUAUUGCACAAUGGGCGCAAGCCUGAUGCAGCCAUGCCGCGUGUAUGAAGAAGGCCUUAGGGUUGUAAAGUACUUUCAGCGGGGAGGCGUUACCCGCAGAAGAAGCACCGGCUAACUCCGUGCCAGCAGCCGCGGUAAUAC
rnacentral:rRNA from 1 species